rnacentral:SRP_RNA from 2 species
GCUGGGCAUGGUGACGGGUGCCUGUAAUCCCAGCUACUCAGGAGGCUGAGGCAGAGAAUUGCUUGAACCCAGGAGGCAGAGGUCGCAGUGAGCCGAGAUCGCGCCACUGCAUUCCAGCCUGGGUGACAGAGCAAGACUCUGUCUCAA